UGCACCCCCCCCCCUUCAUCCAGGGAGAGACCAGCAGCUAUUCCAAUUGAGAUCAAAAGCAUUGACGACACUUCCAACUUUGACGAGUUUCCUGAUUCAGACAUCCUCCAGCCUUCAGCCCCUCCUGUGUCCAACCACACUGAAGCUGAUCUGAAGAGUAAAGACUGGGUGUUCAUCAACUACACCUACAAGCGCUUUGAGGGGCUGACUGCACGAGGAGGCAUCCCAUCAUACAUGAAAACUGGGAAGAGAUAGGCUUCAAUAGGACUCAAUAGGUUGUUUUUCCACAAGGAGACAUUCUCCAUCGCUCCUCCUAGCAUCUGAAGGAUCCUGCAUCAUCCAUUUCCUUUUUUGACUCACUCAACCAUGAUUCAUUUAUGGAUGUGGACUCCACCCGCACUCAAUCCAUAGAAAGACACGUUCAGAGUCUUAUCUAAGGGCUUCUUUUCCUCGAACACCCUGACUGUGCUCGUUUUAUCCCUGAGCUUUUCCGUUUUUCCUUCUUACACUGACACUGGCAAAAAGGGCUUGAAGGGCUGGUUAGACUUCCUGCAACCAUAAUUGAUUUUAAUUGCAUUAGCAAAGGUGGAUCAUUGAUUUACUGCUUCCAAGAACUAGCAUUUGUGGUAGAAGCCCUGUCUCAGCCUUUUUCUUGUCCACAUCUACUGUACACAUCUUAAAGACUGAAACCUUCCCUUUUAUUAAAUAAGAUGGUUGUUUUGAAAAUCCAUACUUCUAAAGACUUCACUUUUCUCCUCUGUUUUUGAAAAUGUUUUCUUGUUACGCUCACCAUCCAAGAUCUCAGCGACAAUGGCAAAACACGGGGCUUCGUAGUCAGUCUGAUCUGAAUGUUAUUCAUACAAACCCCCAGAGCUGUAGAUGUUGCCUUACAUUCGGAUCCUUCUUAUACCAGCAGAAACAUCAUGAAUGCAUUUGCCAGUCAAAUCAAAUUGUUCAUUAACAUAACAUUGAAAUUUCACCAGCUGAUGUCAAAGACCAAGCAAACUCUACGGACCAGCGUUUGUUUAUUAUUUAAUGGGUAGUUUCAGCCACCGACUGAUUCAAAAUUUGCUUGGUGCUAAUGCUGUUCUUUUUUUAAUCUUUUUU